AUGAUUUUGUUUUUGGGUAUGAGAUCUGAUGGCCGUGUUUCCCUUUUUUAUGACAAUUUCGCUAAGCCAUACUAUGUAACCAAGAGAUGCUCUUUGCAAGAGGGGUUUCUGCUAUGCUUACCAAGUUCAUAUUGUAUAACUAUAGUAUGCUGUUGCAGAAACUCAAAUUAUUUAGAACAAUGUCCCAGAGCCAUCUCUAAAAUUUAG